AUUGAACGCCGGCGGCAGGCCUAACACAUGCAAGUCGAGAGGAGCGGCGGACGGGUGAGUAAUGCCUAGGAAUCUGCCUGGUAGUGGGGGAUAACGUCCGGACACGGGCGCUAAUACCGCAUACUAUCAGAUGAGCCUCGGUCGGAUUAGCUAGUUGGUGGGGAAAAGGCCUACCAAGGCAACGAUCCGUAACUGGUCUGAGAGGAUGAUCAGUCACACUGGAACUGAGACGCGGUCCGUACUCCUACGGGAGGAAGCAGUGGGGAAUAUAGGACAAUAGGCGAAAGCCUGAUCCAGCCAUGCCGCGUGUGUGAAGAAGGUCUUCAGAUUGUAAGGCACUUUAAGUUGGGAGGCGUGACCAACAGAAUAAACAACGGCUAACUUCGGGCCAGCAGGCACGGUAAUUC
rnacentral:rRNA from 1 species